rnacentral:rRNA from 1 species
AGAGGAAGUAAAAGUCGUAACAAGGUUUCCGUAGGUGAACCUGCGGAAGGAUCAUUACCAAAUUGUCAACACGAGUUGUUGCUGGUCCUCAAACGGGGGCAUGUGCACGCUCUGUUUACACAUCCACUCACACCUGUGCACCCUCUGUAGCUCUGUGGCAUGGGGGGCUCUGUCCUCCUGUCGUGGUUCUACGUCUUUACACACACUCUGUAACAAAGUCUCAUGGAAUGCAUGACGCGUUUAACGCAAUACAAUACAACUUUCAGCAACGGAUCUCUUGGCUCUCGCAUCGAUGAAGAACGCAGCGAAAUGCGAUAAGUAAUGUGAAUUGCAGAAUUCAGUGAAUCAUCGAAUCUUUGAACGCACCUUGCGCCCUUUGGCUAUUCUGAAGGGCAUGCCUGUUUGAGUAUCGUGAACACCUCAACUCUCGUGGUUUGCCAUGAUGAGUUUGGACUUGGGGGGUCUUGCUGGCCUGUGGUCGGCUCCUCUCAAAUGGAUCAGCUUGCCAGUGUUUGGUGGCAUCACAGGUGUGAUAACUAUCUACGCUUGUGGUUUUCCACCAGAUAACCUUCAGUGAUGGAGGUUCGCUGGAGCUCAUAAAUGUCUCUCCUCAGUGAAGACAGCUUUUUGAACGUUUGAUCUCAAAUCAGGUAGGACUACCCGCUGAACUUAAGCAUA